rnacentral:lncRNA from 1 species
CAGCUGCAAGUCUCGGCCCGCUGCAGGAAAAUCAACAGAGCAGUGACUUGUGAGCACUAAUGCACUGAAACAGGGGAAGUGAAGCAAGCAAGUUGUUUUGGAGUGUCGAGGCCUGGUUGGGUGUCCACCACCAUCAGAGAAAGACAUGGAAGGGGUCAGGCUAUCACCCACUCUCCCCCGCGUGGAACAUCUUUCCUGGAACUUGCCGGACAGGCAGGCCUCCAAGACAUGACUCACAUUCUUUCUUAAUUUUUGACUCUGAGUACAUGACGACCAAAGCGAUCGAAACACAGUUAAAGCCCAUCCCUGCAUCUGCAGACUCUGAUGCAAUACCGAAGCAUAUUUACUGUUAACUUUCUGUUACACGGUGUAAACCCGUGGCUAGGGGCCUCACCUGGGUCUUUUGCACUGCCCACCAGUGUCACUGAGUCUCUCUGAUUUGCUGCACAUCCACUUUACUCAUCAACGAAUACUCAUAAAGCACCCACUGUGUGAUAUAGGCAU